UGGUGGAGUUCACGUGCAUUCAGCUGUAUCCGGCAUGAAUUGAACGCACCCUAGUGCACCAAUGCACCUCCCAGAUAAUUAUCACGUACUCUUUUAUGAAGACUCAGAAUCCUGUACAGUAUGGAAGAAUGCGUCUGAUGCACCUUGAUGCGUUCGAAAUGGAAUCAUGGCGGAAUAUCUUUUGAUGGACCCUUCUAUAGAACAAACACCUGAAGGGAAGCGAGGACUGGACCCGAGAACAUGUUCAGAAACGAAGGAAAGUUCUUCACCUGAGCCGGUGUUUUUCUCGCAUAGCCUAAAGCUGCACGUAACACGGUUCAUGUCAAAAGUGAAAGUUUCUCAAGGGACUCCAUUUUGUGGAAGGAAGAGCACGAACGACGCCAGGCGAGAAUUGGAUUUAAGACAAAAGUUUUUAAUCUGCUGCCUGGAGAAAGGAUGGAUUUCUGAACGGAAUGCAGUUUGUGUUUGAUGUUCUUCGUCGUUGAAACAGCGCACUUCCUGUAAAAUGAGUCAGAGAACGGAGACUUCUGCUCAGAAAUGCGAAGCAGCAUCACCAGAACCCAGCUGCGUGUCCGUGAAGAGCGACGGAUCCAUGAACCCUCCCCCUCAACUUUGUGAUGGAGCAGUGACCUGUGACCCCGAUAGUUCUGAUUGUAAUGUGAGACUCUGUGAGUGGAGAAAGGAGGGGGUUAACAUUCAGAAACACAAAGCAGCACCUCUGGAGCCCAGCUGUGUUUCACUGAAGAGAUACAGAUUCAUGAAUGACCCUACUGAGCUCAGUGAUGGAGCAGUGAC